rnacentral:rRNA from 1 species
UACGUAGGUCGCAAGCGUUGUCCGGAUUUACUGGGCGUAAAGAGCGCGCAGGCGGCUGGUCAAGUCCGAUGUGAAAUCUCCCGGCUCAACUGGGAAACUGCAUCGGAAACUGAUCGGCUUGAAGAUGGGAGAGGGUAGUGGAAUUCCCGGUGUAGUGGUGAAAUGCGUAGAUAUCGAGAGGAACACCAGUGGCGCAAGCGGCUGACUGGCCGAGACCUGACGCUGAGACACGACGGCGUGGGGAGCAAACCGG